GUUAAAGUAACGUGGUAAGCAGAGGUCUCUUUGGCUAUCUGGUCAUCAAUUCUGAGUCAGUUUCCAGUGUUUGUUAUUUAAAAAUGGUCCUAAUUGUCUCAAGUGAUCCCUUAGUUCUGUUUGGUUAGAAAAAGCAGUUUUAUGAUUACUGCAAUGUCUGGAGCUGAGGCCUUAUCUCCUGCAUCUGCAGGGCUAGAAAGAGAAGUUCAUAUUGCUGGGAAGAGAGUUACAGUCUACUCAUUGCUGGUGCAUUAUGCCGCUGCUGUUUUGUACCUGUUGCUCUGAUGUUGAAGUAACUUCAGAUGUUCCUUAUUUUGAUAAAACACAUAUUGGUCUCCAUACCUAUUGAGCAACUACAAUAUAUUUUACUUCAGUUAUAUUUUCUUAAACUUUCUUUCAGAAUUAUCCUGGACUACAUCUGGCUUCCUAACUUCCCAGAGCUACCCUGGCCUCUCAUACUGUAUUCUUGUUUAUUCUCUCUGAUUUGCUCCAACCACUUCAGCAGCUAUUAGCCCUCUAAAUAUGACCUUUUCUUACAUUUCCUCUUAAUCAAUGAUGCAAGAAGCCAAGGAAUGAAGGCUCAGACUGCCCGGGUUGCAGCAGCGCUGUACUGUCUUCAUCGUGCAAUCUUCCAGAGCUCUCUGCAUGCCACUUGUCUGCUCUGAGCGCUUCUGGGUCUAUGCUGAGACUUCCUGCACACCUGAAAGUUCAAAUCAAGAGCUGAGUGUGACUGUGCUUGUCUCAGCCCUGAUAAAAAGAUGGGGAAGGGAGGACCAGCAGGAAGACGGAGGUGAGGCUGGAUUAAGAUUUGCCAAAUCUCUUUUUUCAAAAAAAAAAAAAGGCAACCUCCUAAAAGCUGCUGGGAGAGAAAGCCCCCACAAUGGUGCGGUGCGUGGUGGGGCUG
rnacentral:lncRNA from 1 species